AGUGAACGCUGGCGGCGCGCUUAACACAUGCAAGUCGAACGGAUAAGGAUGGUGCUUGCACCAUCUGAGUCAGUGGCAGACGGGUGAGUAAUACAUGGGAAUCUGCCUUGUAGUGGGGGAUAACUGUUGGAAACGACUGCUAAUACCGCAUAUUGCCGAGAGGUGAAAGAUUUAUCGCUACAAGAUGAGCCCAUGCAGGAUUAGCUAGUUGGUAAGGUAAUGGCUUACCAAGGCGAUGAUCCUUAGUUGGUCCGAGAGGAUGACCAGCCACACUGGGACUGAGACACGGCCCAGACUCCUACGGGAGGCAGCAGUGGGGAAUAUUGGACAAUGGGCGAAAGCCUGAUCCAGCAACGCCGCGUGAGUGAUGAAGGCCUUCGGGUUGUAAAGCUCUUUUAGUAGGGAAGAUAAUGACGGUACCUACAGAAUAAGUCCCGGCUAACUUCGUGCCAGCAGCCGCGGUAAAAC
rnacentral:rRNA from 1 species